UACCUACGGGGCGCAGCAGUGGGGAAUAUUGCACAAUGGGGGGAACCCUGAUGCAGCGACGCCGCGUGAGUGAAGAAGUAUUUCGGUACGUAAAGCUCUAUCAGCAGGGAAGAAAAAAGGACGGUACCUGAGUAAGAAGCCCCGGCUAACUACGUGCCAGCAGCCGCGGUAAUACGUAGGGGGCAAGCGUUAUCCGGAAUUACUGGGUGUAAAGGGAGCGUAGGUGGCAGGGCAAGUCAGAUGUGAAAACCCGGGGCUCAACUCCGGGAGUGCAUUUGAAACUGUCCAGCUAGAGUGCAGGAGAG
rnacentral:rRNA from 1 species